UCCUACGGGAGGCACCAGUGGGGAAUAUUGGACAAUGGGCGAAAGCCUGAUCCAGCCAUGCCGCGUGUGUGAAGAAGGUCUUCGGAUUGUAAAGCACUUUAAGUUGGGAGGAAGGGCAGUAACCUAAUACGUUAGUGUCUUGACGUACCGACAGA
rnacentral:rRNA from 1 species